UCCUUCGCCCACACCCAACCCACCCACGACCCCCAAACCUAGCCAGCCCUCUCUCGUCCUCGUUCUCGUCCUCUCCUCUCCUCAUGCGCCCCAUCGCCGCCGCGCCAUGGCCUCCCCCGCCCCGAACGCCGCCGCCAGGCAAGGCCAUCGUGCCCUGUCCACGCCAAUUCCUCUCCCCUCCAUCUUCAACCUCCGCUCACCGUCUCUCUUUCCCCCCUGAUUCGUCCACGCGGUUCGGCCGUCGCCAGAUCUGCGCCCAGGCCGGACGAACAACGGCCGGUGGACGCCCCCCGGCGCUGGAUCUUCGUAAAGGAAAGUGAAGCAUCUGCAGUGUGAUGAGUACAUGAGCUGCCUAGCAACAGAAAGCGGAGACUACGUGUCUCAUGAUGUGAAUGGACAAUACAGCCCAAUAUUCUUUAUUGAGUAAAAGGUCUUACAACCCAUGCAUCUUAAGCUGAAAAGAGAGAAGGUUGAAGCCAUGGUUACAUGGGUGCUUGAAGAUGGAUUUUGCAUGCAUAAGGGCAUCAUGGGUUAACCCCGACAUCAGCGAUCUUUUUUGUGUGUGACUCUAGCAAGAACAUCACCCCGUUCAUUUGGUCUAAACAGUUCUAAUUAAUAAGAAGCAUCUGACCAAAACAAACAAGGAACCAUCUGAUUUCAGGGUGGGUACCUGUCUAUCAAAGGAACUCGGAGCUAAAGGGCACUGAGACUAUUGGUGUUACUGAUGCAGUACGGUCCACCAUAUGGGUUGACAACAGAGGUCCUAGAGGCUUAAAGGCAGUGAGAAGGAGUGAUGCUAAUGCAGUUGUUGGUCAAGGUUUGCAUAAUUAAACCUGGCAAACCCUUAAAUGCAGAAUACAUGAUGGCGCGCAAGUACAUUGUCAAAUGGAUUCUAUCUAAUGAAUCACUACACAUGAAAAUAUCUAAUGAAUCACUACGCAGUAAACUGUAGCAUAUCCAGAGUUCAGGAAAAAGUAGAAGACUUCAACAGUAAUUUGACGGUUGACGGUCUUUGUUAUUCACGGAAAGGACCAUAGGCAUUCUGCCACUUAAUUGCCAUCACUCUAGUGUCGUCUUCCCAUUCUGGAACCCCUACAAAAGCCCCUUGCCCUUCUUAUGUGAGGCUGCUCCCUUAUCUUUCUGCUGGGACUGCCUUGCCUUCUUUGCUGCUUGUGCAGCCCUCUUCCUGGCUGCCUGGUCCCGGUGAAGUUGAUCCUUAGCGCGUCUGAGCGCUUCCUCCCGGGCAUGGUCAUGUUGGUGGCGCUGGAACUGAUCCAAUGUGUAGUAGCCCCAGAAGCGGUGCCUCCUGCACCGUAUCUCGUAUUGUUCCGGCGGUCCCGCCAUGCCUGCUUUCUGUUAGCAAAGGCGAAAAGUUUACUUUCUACAGAUUUGAAUAUCAUUUUCGUCCACAUAAUAAUUGGGUAUGGGUCUUAGAAUAAUCAAUCUGCUGCAAAUGUGGAUAAUGGUGAUGAAAUGCUGUUUAUUACAGACUGGAACCCAUCUAUAGGUUGUCCCUGCAAUUAGUACAGACUGAAACAUACUCCCCCUGUCCGUAAGAAUGGAUGUACCUAGAUCUAGAUGUCAUUCAUUUGUGCGAUAGAGUGAGUAUAUGUAGGGUCUCCUGCAAUUUGUUUGUUAGACUGAAACAGAUCUAUCUAUAGGGUCUCCUGCAAUUUGUUUGUCAGACUGAAACAGAUCUAUCUAUAGGGUCUCCUGCAGUUUGUUUGUCAGACUGAAACAGAUCUAUAGCGUCUCCUGCAGUAGUUUACUGCAGACUGAAAUAGAUGUAUAUGGUCUCCUUCAGUUUAUUACACUGAAACAGAUUUA